rnacentral:rRNA from 1 species
AACGAAUGCUGGCGGCAUGCCUAACACAUGCAAGUCGAACGAAGGCUUCGGCCUUAGUGGCGCACGGGUGCGUAACGCGUGGGAAUCUGCCCUUUGGUUCGGAAUAACAGCUGGAAACGGCUGCUAAUACCGGAUGAUGACGAAAGUCCAAAGAUUUAUCGCCAGAGGAUGAGCCCGCGUUGGAUUAGGUAGUUGGUGGGGUAAAGGCCUACCAAGCCGACGAUCCAUAGCUGGUCUGAGAGGAUGAUCAGCCACACUGGGACUGAGACACGGCCCAGACUCCUACGGGAGGCAGCAGUGGGGAAUAUUGGACAAUGGGCGCAAGCCUGAUCCAGCAAUGCCGCGUGAGUGAUGAAGGCCCUAGGGUUGUAAAGCUCUUUUACCCGGGAAGAUAAUGACUGUACCGGGAGAAUAAGCCCCGGCUAACUCCGUG